UCAAGGUAGUAAGGGCACACGGGGAAUGCCUAGGCGCCUGCGGCCGAAGAAGGACGUGGCAAGCUGCGAUAAGCUGCGGGGAGGUGCAAGCGACCGUUGAUCCGCAGAUUUCCGAAUGGGGGAACCCGGCUGGGUGUUGAGCCCAGUCGCCUCGGAAGAGGCGGUCACCCGGCGAAGUGAAACAUCUCAGUAGCCGGAGGAGAAGAAAUCGAAGAGAUGCCCUGAGUAGUGGUGAGCGAAAGGGGUGGAGCCUAAACCUUUGGCGUGUCAAGCCUGCGGGCGUUGCGCCGAGGGGGUUGAGGGGGCAGUCCGGAACCUGCCGCAGCGGGAUCGGGAAGUGAGAAACGUUUUCUGUAGCCGAACGGUGUUGGGAAAGCCGGUCGAAGAGGGUGAAAGCCCCGUAGGCGAAACGGAAGGCACUUCCUGGGAUGGAACCCCGAGUAGGGCGGAGCACGUGGAAUUCCGUCUGAAUCAGGGCCGACCACGGUCCAAGGCUAAAUACCGCAGGCGACCGAUAGUGGAGCAGUACCGAGAGGGAAAGGUGAAAAGCACCCCUGGCGGGGAGUGAAAGAGACCUGAAACCGUGUGCCUACAAGCAGUCGGAGCCGGAAGGCGGGGCGACCCGCUGGAAGGUGACGGCGUGCCUCUUGGAAAAUGAGCCGGCGAGUUAUGGUGUGUGGCGAGGUUAAGGGCUGAAAGGUCCGGAGCCGAAGGGAAACCGAGUCUGAAUAGGGCGGGAGUCGCACGCUAUAGACCCGAAGCCGUACGAUCUAUCCAUGGCCAGGUUGAAGUCCGGGUAAAACCGGAUGGAGGACCGAACCAGGGACUGUUGCAAAAGUCUUGGAUGAGCUGUGGAUAGGAGUGAAAAGCUAAUCGAGUACGGUGAUAGCUGGUUCUCCCCGAAAUGCAUUGAGGUGCAGCCUCAGGCGGUGAACGUGGCGGAGGUAGAGCUACUGGAUGGACGAGGGGGAGAGUGCUCCUACCGACUUCAACCAAACUCCGAAUGCCGUCACGGGAUACCUGGGAGUGAGACGGCGAGUGAGAAGAUCCGUCGUCGAGAGGGAAAGAACCCAGAUCGCCAGCUAAGGUCCCGAAGCGCGGGCUAAGUGUGGUAAGGAUGUGGAGACGCCCAGACAGCCAGGAGGUUGGCUUAGAAGCAGCCACCCUUGAAAGAGUGCGUAAUAGCUCACUGGUCGAGCGUCUCUGCGCCGAAAAUGUAGGGGGCUAAGCCCGCCGCCGAAGCUGCGGAAUGCGCGCAAAUUGCGCGGAUUGGUAGGGGAGCGUUCCAUGCGGGGAGAAGUCGGGUUGAGAAGCCCGGUGGACUGCAUGGAAGUGAGAAUGUCGGCAUGAGUAGCGAAAAACACGUGGGAAACGUGUUCACCGAAAGCCCAAGGUUUCCUGGGGAAGGUUCAUCCACCCAGGGUUAGGCGGGACCUAAGGCGAGGCCGAGAGGCGUAGUCGAUGGACAGCCGGUUGACAUUCCGGCCCCGCCCCGGUGACGAUUGGACCGAAGGGGUGACGCAGGAGGCUAGGUGUGCCGGGUGAUGGAAGUCCCGGUCCAAGGGUGUAGGGGGACUCUGGAGGCAAAACCCUGGAGUCAAAACCCUGAGGCCUGACGGGGAGUCUCUUCGGGGACGAAGGCAUUGAGGCCAUGCUGCCGAGAAAAGCCUCUAGGGAGGAAUCGGGGCGCCCGUACUGGAAACCGACACAGGUGGGCUGGCUGAGCAGGCUAAGGUGAACGGGAUAACUCUCGUUAAGGAACUCUGCAAGUUGACCCCGUAACUUCGGGAGAAGGGGUGCCACUCAGGUGAGGCGUUAAGCAUGUCCGAGCCGAGGGUGGUCGCAGAAACCAGGCCCAGGCGACUGUUUAAUAAAAACACAGGUCUCUGCUGAAGGCGUGAAGCCGACGUAUAGGGACUGACACCUGCCCGGUGCUGGAAGGUUAAGGGGAGAGGUUAGCCGCGAGGCGAAGCUUUGAACCGAAGCCCCAGUAAACGGCGGCCGUAACUAUAACGGUCCUAAGGUAGCGAAAUUCCUUGUCGGGUAAGUUCCGACCUGCACGAAUGGUGUAACGAUCUG
rnacentral:rRNA from 1 species